CUAGAACGAGAGUGUGGGGAGCGAAAAUGAUCAGAUACCGUCGUAGUCCACUACCCUAAACUAUGUC
rnacentral:rRNA from 1 species